rnacentral:rRNA from 1 species
UGGGGAAUUUUGGACAAUGGGGGAAACCCUGAUCCAGCCAUCCCGCGUGUGCGAUGAAGGCCUUCGGGUUGUAAAGCACUUUUGGCAGGAAAGAAACGUCGCGGGUUAAUACCCCGCGAAACUGACGGUACCUGCAGAAUAAGCACCGGCUAACUACGUGCCAGCAGCCGCGGUAAUACGUAGGGUGCAAGCGUUAAUCGGAAUUACUGGGCGUAAAGCGUGCGCAGGCGGUCCGGAAAGAAAGAUGUGAAAUCCCAGAGCUUAACUUUGGAACUGCAUUUUUAACUACCGGGCUAGAGUGUGUCAGAGGGAGGUGGAAUUCCGCGUGUAGCAGUGAAAUGCGUAGAUAUGCGGAGGAACACCGAUGGCGAAGGCAGCCUCCUGGGAUAACACUGACGCUCAUGCACGAAAGCGUGGGGAGCAAACAGGAUUAGAUACCCUGGUAGUCCACGCCCUAAACGAUGUCAACUAGCUGUUGGGGGCCUUCGGGCCUUGGUAGCGCAGCUAACGCGUGAAGUUGACCGCCUGGGGAGUACGGUCGCAAGAUUAAAACUC